GCUUCGUGGUUGAAUGGUAAGAACUCUUGCCUCUUAUGCCUGGAGUUCCGGGUUCGAUCCCCGGUCGAGGAGCA